AGCGUUUAUUACAAAUUUUUACAAACCAAAAUGAAUAAAAUUACAUCAGAAAAAUACAAAUAAAAACCAACUAGAGGAAGCCUGAUUCUAACUUCCUCACUGAGUUAUGAGGUAAACCAAUUCCAAGACCAUUGAUCCAAAGACUCUCUCCAACCUGGGUGUGUCAAAGUUCACUAAGAGCCUCAAUGAGACUCUGGGCAAUACUCACAUACUAGUUGUUUUAUCAGAAUGGAAAUAAGUGCAGUGUGGAAGGGCCAGCCCUAAAGUGUCCAAGUUCAGAGGGAGCUCAAAGGGUCGCAAGGCGAGGCUCACAAGAGGGUGGCAUAACUUAAAAUCUAAGAGAGUGUGCAAGUGAAGAAAAGAGUUUUGGGGAGUAAUGAAGAGGGAAACAACUACAAACAUAUACACAAAGGGGUUCAGGGGAAUAGGGAAUUUGCAAAGAGCCUAUUACUUAGGCAAGGGAAAACUUUUAGGCAUUCCCAACAAUGGAGGAUGCUGACAUGCUUAUAAGCCUGCUAGAACACACAAUAUUAAAGGCUAGGGUCCCGGGGGAUCAAGUUUGAGUCACGAGCAAUAACUUUCAGUAUUUACAUGCCUCAAACAUAGCAUGAAUACAUAAGGGAAGGAUUUAGGGUCCAAAGUAAGUCCGUAAUCGGUAGAAGCAAAUUAUAACAUGUCAAGAUAUGUACUGAACUAAACACAUACAACAGAUAGGCAAGAGAGUAAGAGCAUUAAGUAAACACAUUAGGGUGAUGCUAGAAUCUUAACCAGAACAUACCAGUUCAAGGAAGAGUAAUGCAGUAAAAGCAGGUAACAUGACUUGAGAAAUAGGCCACAGUACAAGUAACAAGAGAGAAUGCUUUUUGAGAAUAAGUGUGAGUUUAGAAAAACUAAGAGUGUUUAUGUGUGUUUGUGACAAUGAAAGAGCAUGGUAUUUAUAGUUUGAAAACAGGCAGAAAAUAAGGCAUGAAAACAACCAUGUACCAAUAUAAUGCAAUCACUAGAAGAACUCUUUAAUUAAGGAGUUCAAACUUAAAUAGAAAUGAACCGAAAUCAUUUAAGGAAAGAGAUCAAGUAAGUAUCUUUUGGAAAGUAGAAAAUUAGGAGUAAAUACAUAUGAUUUUAAUUAAGGGAAGAAUUAUUAAAAUACAUGGUUAAAUAAAUAAGGUAAGAAUCAAUCAGCACAUUGUAAAUCGAGUCAGAGAUUUGAAAUUACUGGUUCAUGAAUAAACAAAGUCAGAAAGGCUAAGGAAAGUUUUCUAAUCAAACCAAGAAAUAGGGAAAUUAGUAAAACAAGAAAAGAACCAAUCAGACUUAUACAUGGAUGUAUGAAAUCAGUCAAAAAUUGAAAGGGAUUUCAGAGAGGAAGCUCAGCAUAUAUAAAGAGCACACAAGUAUUAGGCAUGCGGCGCUGAAUUUUGGACAAAGAAAAGUGCCAUGAAAUUACAAAAUCAGUAAGUAGUGGACUACAGGAAUAUGGUAGUCACAUAGGUCAGUUGUAACUUAGCUAUGGAGAAGAGAGGGAGUAUCAAAUAGCAUGCAAAUGGUCCAGUAGAAAGACCUUAAAAGAGUUUAGCAGGAUUCAAAACCAUAUAAAAACACAAAAGAUUUUGAAAUUCAGUCAAGCAACAGAUGAAACAACUUCAGAAGCUCAAAUAGGUCCAAAGGAAUUAGGGUUUUGCAACCAAAUAAGUUCAGCGAUGAUGAACAAACAAAUCACAUAGCAAAUAAUAUCAAAACUCGGAUGAACCCCAAAUCUUAGGGUUUUUGCCAUCAAUCUAGUGUAGAGAUGAAAGACAAGAGAAUCAGAAAAGAAUAUCAACAAAGAAAAUAAAAUCAGAAACCCUAAGAGAUAACUUAAGACAUUAACAUAAAGAAGCACAGUAGAAGAAUCAACAUAAGAAACAUAGUAGAAGAACAACAGAAGAAACACAGUAGAACAUGCUAAAGAUCAGAGACAGACAAUACUUUCCACUCCUUAAGCCAUAGCUCAAUCACAUAAGGGGCAGGGGUUUGGGAUUCAUAAUAUAAACAUGCAAAAAGAAAUCAGCAUGCUAAUUUAAGAGUUGAACUUUACAGAAACAGUAAGUAGACAUGAAUAAAAAAGCAAUAAAUAAAAACAAGUUGUGGUGCUAAAGCUUAAAUUAGGACAUAUAUGUUUCAAAGAAACAAAAUAGAGAAAAGCAGUAGGUCUUGUAAACAGGACACAGUGCAAACAAGAAGAGAGAACACUAUUGUGCAUAAGUGUAAGUUCAAAAAGACUAUGAAUAAGUGACUGUGUGUUAAUACAGGAGUCGUGCAUUUAUAGUUUGAAAAUCAGGCAAAAAUAACAUAAGAAAAUAGUUAAGGACUGAAUAUCAAUUAAGAAUCAAUCACAUAAGACUUCCUUUAAUUAAGGAAUACAGAUUCAAAUGGUAAAGUUAUUUAAGGGAAGAAAUCAAACAAGCGUUUUUUGCAAAGUAGGCAAUUAGGGGUAAAUACAUAGAAGUUUACUUUAGGGGCAGAGCUUUGAAAUACACGGUUGCAUAAAUAAGGUAAGAGAAAUCAUUUAGUAGCUAGUAAAUCAAGGAUCAGAGGUUUUGUAAUCACUAGUCCAUGAAUGAACCAAGUCAGAAAAGUUAAGGAAAGUCAAAUAACAUUAAUUGAGUCAUAGGGAAAUAAUCAAACAAGGAAAGAAAUCAAUAAAACCUAUACAAGAGGAGGUAUGAAACUAAUCAAAAUUUGGAAGCCAUUUUAGAGGGGAUGUCCAUCAUAUAUAAAGAGUACACAAGUAUUAGGCAUGCG
rnacentral:lncRNA from 1 species